rnacentral:rRNA from 1 species
AUACGGAGGAUCCGAGCGUUAUCCGGAUUUAUUGGGUUUAAAGGGAGCGUAGGUGGGAUAUUAAGUCAGCUGUGAAAGUUUGGGGCUCAACCUUAAAAUUGCAGUUGAUACUGGUUUCCUUGAGUACGGUAUAGGUGGGCGGAAUUCGUGGUGUAGCGGUGAAAUGCUUAGAUAUCACGAAGAACUCCGAUUGCUAAGGCAGCUUGCUGGACUGUAACUGACGCUGAUGCUCGAAAGUGUGAGUAGCAAACAGGAUUAGAUACCCUGGUAGUCCACACAGUAAACGAUGAAUACUCGCUGUUUGCGAUAUACAGUAAGCGGCCAAGCGAAAGCGUUAAGUAUUCCACCUGGGAAGUACGCCGGCAACGGUGAAACUCAAAGGAAUUGACGGGG